rnacentral:rRNA from 1 species
GACGAACGCUGGCGGCGUGCCUAAUACAUGCAAGUCGAACGCAGUGGGGACGGGUGCGUAACACGUGGGUAACCUCCCAUCAGAGGGGAUAACACUUGGAAACAGGUGCUAACCCGAUAUUGAUGGCUGGACCCGCGUGGCAUUAGCUAGUUGGUGAGGUAACGGCUCACCAAGGCCACGAUGCAUAGCCGACCUGAGAGGGGGUGCGGCCAAACUGGGACGGAGACACGGCCCAGACUCCUACGGGAGGCAGCAGUAGGGAAUCUUCGGCAAUGGACGAAAGUCUGACCGAGCAACGCCGCGUGAGUGAAGAAGGUUUUCGGAUCGUAAAGCUCUGUUGGUAGAGAAGCGGUACCUAACCAGAAAGGGACGGCUAACUACGUGCCAGCCGCCGCGGUAAUAC